UACAGAGGGGGCAAGCGUUGUUCGGAAUUACUGGGCGUAAAGCGUGCGCAGGCGGCUUGCUAAGACAGGUGUGAAAGCCCCGAGCUUAACUUGGGAAUGGCGCUUGUGACUGGCAGGCUGGAGUGUGGCAGAGGGAGGUGGAAUUCCACGUGUAGCAGUGAAAUGCGUAGAGAUGUGGAGGAACACCGAUGGCGAAGGCAGCCUCCUGGGCCAACACUGACGCUCAUGCACGAAAGCGUGGGGAGCAAACAGG
rnacentral:rRNA from 1 species